UAAUGAAUUCACACAAACAUAACACUAGUCCAAUCUCUACACUCUCCUUCUCAUCUCACUACAAAUACUCCCUCUUUGCUACCUCCUUAGACCUAAAACGACAACGUUUCACUUCUCCGUUGUUGUUGAUCUUCUUGUUCCUCUGUUUGUCUUUUGCUACUUCCAUGGCAGUCUCAGACUCAGAUUCAGACUCUGGUCCUGUUGUUCAGACGACCCCACUCGUCACCUUCCUCCAGCGCGUGCAACUCACGGCACUCCGAUCAUACUCCAAGAAGCCUGACCCUAAAUUCUACAUUGACCUGUCUCUCAAGCUCCCUCACGAUCUCUCCACCGCCGAGUCCGCCUUCGACGAUCUCACGACCGGGUCACGUGACCUGUCAGUGCCAGUGGAGAAGCUUGAAAAGUUCGUCCACGAGUACUUCGACGAUGCAGGGAAGGAUCUGGUGCACCACGAGCCAGAGGACUUCGUCUCAGAUCCCACCGAGUUCCUCCUCAACGUGGAGAACGACCAAGUCAGAGAAUGGGCGCGUGAGGUACACUGCCUUUGGAGAACCCUGAGCUGCAGAGUCUCUGACUCGGUCAUAGAGUCACCUGACCGGCACACGCUUCUCCCGUUGCCGGAACCGGUUAUCAUUCCCGGUUCGAGAUUCAGAGAAGUUUAUUACUGGGAUUCUUAUUGGGUUAUCAAGUCAGUGUUCAUCAACUUCUCACACCAUUGUUUUUUUUCUUCUAUAAUUAAUUCUUCAACUCCUUUUAAUAUUCCGUGUUGACUACGCAACACGAGCUCACGUGUCGAUGUCAUGUUAUGUGGUGCGCUUUUGCACGUGCAGAGGACUUUUGACGAGUAAAAUGUUCACUACGGCCAAAGGUUUAGUGACGAACCUGAUGUCACUUGUGGAGACUUAUGGUUACGCUUUGAACGGUGCUAGAGCUUAUUACACUAACCGAAGGUAAAAACCAAAACAGAUAAUCAUCGUAAAAUGUUACGUAACAGAGAGUAAUAGGCUGUUUUUUUAUUGUAACAAGCCAACCACCUCUAUUGAGCUCAAUGGUCUAUGAGAUCUAUAACGUAACCAAAGAUGAAGAACUUGUGAGGAAAGCUAUCCCUGUGCUUCUCAAAGAGUACGAGUUCUGGAACUCAGGUUAGUUUUUUAGUUGAGUUACAUAAUGAUAUGGUGUGUUCUUUCCUAUAUUUAAUGUUGGUUAUAUUAUAAGUAUCUUUUAAUUUUGUAGGAAAACAUAAGGUUGUAAUUCGAGACGCAAGUGGCAAUGAUCACAUCUUAAGCCGGUAUUACGCCAUGUGGAACAUGCCUAGACCUGAAUCCUCUGUUUUCGUAUGUUUCUUGUCUCAUUAGCUCAAGUAAACUGUAGCUUUUUUUUAACUUGGAAAAAAAUAUUUUGACUCCCUCUCUCUCUCUCUCUCGCUCACAGGAUCAAGAAUCAGCUUCGGGGUUUUCGAGUACGUUAGAGAAACAACGGUUCCAUCGAGAUAUAGCUACGGCUGCUGAAUCAGGAUGCGACUUCAGCACGAGAUGGAUGAGGUUAAAUUUAUUAUCAAAAUUGUUACUAGAAUCGUUUAUAUUACUGUCACACUUAAAUGUUAAAUUACUAUACCAAAAUUUUCAAGAUUUUACAUAACAACAUAAAAACAAAAUAGCAGUAUGCAGUAAUUAAAUCUAAACAAAACAUCUAACCAACAGAAAUUGAAAUGAAAGGUCCUUAAACUAUGAAUGAGUGGAAUGGCCGAUACAGUUACCAUGAGCUGCUGAAGGAAAGUAAAAUGUUGAAUUAACAAUGACUCUCAAGGGUCAAAACUCCAUCGUCGCAUCUUGCAUUCUGCAUCGAUGUUUUGGGUGCGUAUCAUUUCGUUUUAGGGUUUAGCAGAAUAAAAGAUAACAUAAUCUACUCCUUUUUGUUGUUAGAUUGCAUUUGAAUGGGAAUAUUGUUACGGAGUUGCAUCAUUUGUCUGUAUCUAGGAAAAGUUUAAUUUAUGGAGGGUUUGGCAUGCUUCCUCUAAUCAAGAAAUAAAAGUAAGCUCUGCUGGCUCCUAUGAUGUGUAUGUUUUGACUAUAAGCUAAAUAAUAAAUAAGUAAGGCCACCACCAACUUCUUAGGCGUGUCACUUUUCCUCCCGUGAUUACUUCUUUAAAAAGCGAGUUUAGUUUUGUUUCUUACUUUAUUAAAAAAUUACGUAUUUUCAGAAAUUGUUUGUUGAUAGGUUCGGUUCGUAUUGAAUUUGAACUCCUUGGAUACUUGAGCAUAUUGUUUAGAAAGAUCACAAAUCCACACAAACUUGCCAAACAAAUCUAAUCGUUAUCAUCCUGAACCAAUCAGAAUGACCCGUCUGACUCAGCCAGAGGGUUUACUGGUAUAUAUAUUUCCAAAAACAAGCUCUUCUUUCCUUUUUCGUAUGUGUUCUUCUUAAAACCCCUAGUCAAAGUUCAUACCUCUGGUAAUGAAUUCACACAAACAUAACACUAGUCCAAUCUCUACACUCUCCUUCUCAUCUCACUACAAAUACUCCCUCUUUGCUACCUCCUUAGACCUAAAACGACAACGUUUCACUUCUCCGUUGUUGUUGAUCUUCUUGUUCCUCUGUUUGUCUUUUGCUACUUCCAUGGCAGUCUCAGACUCAGAUUCAGACUCUGGUCCUGUUGUUCAGACGACCCCACUCGUCACCUUCCUCCAGCGCGUGCAACUCACGGCACUCCGAUCAUACUCCAAGAAGCCUGACCCUAAAUUCUACAUUGACCUGUCUCUCAAGCUCCCUCACGAUCUCUCCACCGCCGAGUCCGCCUUCGACGAUCUCACGACCGGGUCACGUGACCUGUCAGUGCCAGUGGAGAAGCUUGAAAAGUUCGUCCACGAGUACUUCGACGAUGCAGGGAAGGAUCUGGUGCACCACGAGCCAGAGGACUUCGUCUCAGAUCCCACCGAGUUCCUCCUCAACGUGGAGAACGACCAAGUCAGAGAAUGGGCGCGUGAGGUACACUGCCUUUGGAGAACCCUGAGCUGCAGAGUCUCUGACUCGGUCAUAGAGUCAC
rnacentral:lncRNA from 1 species